rnacentral:rRNA from 1 species
ACUCCUGCGGGAGGCAGCAGUGGGGAAUUUUACGCAAUGGGGGAAACCCUGACGUAGCGACACCGCGUGAGCGAAGAAGCCCUUUGGGGUGUAAAGCUCUGUCAGCUGGGACGAAAACAAUGACGGUACCAGCAGAGGAAGCAUCGGCUAACUACGUGCCAGCAGCCGCGGUAAGACGUAGGAUGCGAGCGUUGUCCGGAUUUAUUGGGCGUAAAGAGUUCGUAGGUGGUUUGUUAAGUUUGGUGUUAAAGAUCGGGGCUCAACCCUGGGACUGCACUGAAUACUGGCAGACUCGAGUGUGGUAGAGGCUAGUGGAAUUCCCAGUGUAGCGGUGAAAUGCGUAGAUAUUGGGAAGAACACCGGUGGCGUAGGCGACUAGCUGGGCCAUAACUGACGCUGAGGAACGAAAGCCAGGGGAGCGAAUGGGAUUAGAAACCCGAGUAGUCCCAUGAU